rnacentral:rRNA from 1 species
GAGUUUGAUCCUGGCUCAGGAUGAACGCUGGCGGCGUGCCUAAUACAUGCAAGUAGAACGCUGAAGCUUGGUGCUUGCACCGAGCGGAUGAGUUGCGAACGGGUGAGUAACGCGUAGGUAACCUGCCUGGUAGCGGGGAGUAACUAUUGGAACGAUAGCUAAUACCGCAUAACAGUAGAUAUUGCAUGAUAUCUGCUUGAAAGGUAGGCAAUUGUCAUCACUACCAGAUGGACCUGCGUUGUAUUAGCUAGUUGGUGAGGUAACGGCUCACCAAGGCGACGAUACAUAGCCGACCUGAGAGGGUGAUCGGCCACACUGGGAC